rnacentral:tRNA from 1 species
GCCCGUGGCCUAAUGGAUGAGGCGUCUGACUUCUAAUUAGGCGAUUGUGGGUUCGAGUCCCACAACCGGGCG